ACUGGGCACACUGUGACUGGCUAC
rnacentral:piRNA from 1 species